rnacentral:rRNA from 1 species
GAUGAACGCUGGCGGCGUGCCUGAUACAUGCAAGUCGAGCGAACGGACGAGAGGCUUGCUUCUCUGAUGUUAGCGGCGGACGGGUGAGUAACACGUGGAUAACCUACCUAUAAGACUGGGAUAACUUCGGGUAACCGGAGCUAAUACCGGAUAAUAUUUUGAACCGCAUGGUUCAAAAGUGAAAGACGGUCUUGCUGUCACUUAUAGAUGGAUCCGCGCUGCAUUAGCUAGUUGGUAAGGUAACGGCUUACCAAGGCAACGAUGCAUAGCCGACCUGAGAGGGUGAUCGGCCACACUGGAACUGAGACACGGUCCAGACUCCUACGGGAGGCAGCAGUAGGGAAUCUUCCGCAAAGGGCGAAAGCCUGACGGAGCAACGCCGCGUGAGUGAUGAAGGUCUUCGGAUCGUAAAACUCUGUUAUUAGGGAAGAACAUAUGUGUAAGUAACUGUGCACAUCUUGACGGUACCUAAUCAGAAAGCCACGGCUAACUACGUG